rnacentral:tRNA from 1 species
UCCCUGGUAGUUCAAGUGGCUAAGACUCUGCACUCCCAAUGCAGGGGGUCUGGGUUCAAAUCCUGGUCAGGGAA